rnacentral:snRNA from 1 species
GGAUGUGAGGGCGAUCUGGCUGCGACAUCUGUCACCCCAUUGAUCGCCAGGGUUGAUUCAGCUGAUCUAGCUGGCUAGGCGGGUGUGCUCUUCCUCCCUCACUGUUCCAUGUGCGUCCCUCCCCAAGCUGCGAGCUCGGUCAAAGAGGACGACCAUCCCCAAUAGAGGAGGACCGUUCUUCGGUCAAGGGUAUACGAGUAGCUGCACUCCCCUGCUAGACCCUCCAAACAAGCUCUCAAGGUCCAUCUGUAGGAGAACGUAGGGUAGUCUAGCUUCCAAGACGCCAGACACAUCCAAAUGAGGCGCUGCACGUGGCAGUCUGCCUCUCUUU